rnacentral:sRNA from 1 species
CUGAAGUUCUAGGAAGCUGAUGUCCUUUGUUUGUCUACAAAAUAGGCAUAGCUCAGGCCCAGCAGUGAAGGCUUCUUCCCGCUGCUUUGCCAAUUUGCUUCAACCCUACCCUGGAGGGGUCACUUCUGGGAAUCUAAGAAUCAUUCAGUCUCCAUUCGAGAUCUCUGAGACGUCCAG